rnacentral:rRNA from 1 species
AGAGACAGCAGUCGCCGCGGUAAUACGAAGGGGGCUAGCGUUGUUCGGAAUUACUGGGCGUAAAGCGCACGUAGGCGGAUAUUUAAGUCAGGGGUGAAAUCCCAGAGCUCAACUCUGGGACUGCCUUUGAUACUGGGUAUCUUGAGUAUGGAAGAGGUGAGUGGAAUUCCGAGUGUAGAGGUGAAAUUCGUAGAUAUUCGGAGGAACACCUGUGGCGAAGGCGGCUCACUGGUCCAUUACUGACGCUGAGGUGCGAAAGCGUGGGGAGCAAACAGGACUAGAUACCCCAGUAGUCCCUGUCUCUUAUAC